CUGGCCUCACUUUUGUGGUUCUGUCAUCCCAGUGUUGCAUUAGCAGCUGAAAAGAAGUGUGAAUUUCAAAACCUCAUGGCUGCGAGCAGGCUUAAACAAACAAAACAAAAUCCCUGUGCUGUGCUCACCGACUUAGUGUACAGUAACUGACCAGGAAAGAAGAGGAAGUGACUGUGGGAAGGAAAACUGGAAUUUUCUGGAAGUGUUGCAAGAAGAUUGGCAGGAGUCCAGCCUGGAAUCAAACCUGGGAAGAGGUUUAGAAGCUGUGGAAACACAUACAGAAGCACAACAGGGAAGACAAAGUGUGUGGGGAUGCUGAAGCUUUGAAGAGAAAUCCUGGAUCACUUUUUGAAUGAGACUAAAAGGAUCCUGCUUCUCUAAACAAGAAUAUUUGGAUUCUGCCUGGGAGAUGCACUCUGGCUUUGCAUGCUCCAUGUGUCUGCUGAGCGCACAGCUGGAUACCUGCGAAGUGCUGGGUGACCACAGACUCAUUUCCAUGUAUACUACAGCAUUCCUUCAGGAGGAGAGGCUCUUCAUAAUGGAUGCAUAAGCAUGCAAGCUUUAUUACCUGCCCCUGCCAACUCACCAGGAAAGUAUG